GGAUGGGUCUCCGUGAUGGGGGUGAUCAACCACCUCAGAAGAGCCAGAUUCCACUUCUGUGGCCAGGACUUUUACAUUAUGGCUGGUCCGAUUGUUUUACCCUGCGUUCUAUGCUACUAAACCUUGGAUCAUUCCUAAAGUACAAAUUCUGUUCUCGAACCACAAACAAGGCUAAAAGAUCGGAGGAAAUUCAGUGAAUAUACAGGAUUGGGGUUGUGUAUUUUUAAAAGUAUUGAGCUUUAUAAU
rnacentral:lncRNA from 1 species